AGAUUGAACGCUAGCGGGAUGCUUUACACAUGCAAGUCGAACGGCAGCGCGGACUUCGGUCUGGCGGCGAGUGGCGAACGGGUGAGUAAUAUAUCGGAACGUGCCCAGUAGCGGGGGAUAACUACGCGAAAGCGUGGCUAAUACCGCAUACGCCCUACGGGGGAAAGGGGGGGAUCGCAAGACCUCUCACUAUUGGAGCGGCCGAUAUCAGAUUAGCUAGUUGGUGAGGUAAAGGCUCACCAAGGCGACGAUCUGUAGCUGGUUUGAGAGGACGACCAGCCACACUGGGACUGAGACACGGCCCAGACUCCUACGGGAGGCAGCAGUGGGGAAUUUGGACAAUGGGGGAAACCCUGGAUCCAGCCAUCCCGCGUGUGCGAUGAAGGCCUUCGGGUGUAAGCUACGUUUGGCAGGAAGAAACGGCGUCGACCUAAGUACGGACGCCACGUGACGGUACUGACGGAAUAAGCGACCG
rnacentral:rRNA from 1 species